rnacentral:rRNA from 1 species
GGAAGGUCCGGGCGUUAUCCGGANUUANNGGGUUUNAAGGGAGCGUAGGCCGGAGANUAAGCGUGUNGUGAAAUGUAGAUGCUCAACAUCUGCACUGCAGCGCGAACUGGUUUUCUUGAGUACGCACAAAGUGGGCGGAAUUUCGUGGUGUAGCGGUGAAAUGCUUAGAUAUUCACGAAGAACUCCGAUUGCGAAGGCAGCUCACUGGAGCGCAACUGACGCUGAAGCUCGAAAGUGCGGGUAUCGAACAGGAUUAGAUACCCUGGUAGUCCGCACGGUAAACGAUGGAUGCCCGCUGUUGGUCUGAAUAGGUCAGCGGCCAAGCGAAAGCAUUAAGCAUCCCACCUGGGGAGUACGCCGGCAACGGUGAAACUCAAAG